CAGUUCGGAUUGCAGGCUGCAACUCGCCUGCAUGAAGUCGGAAUUGCUAGUAAUCGCGGAUCAGCAUGCCGCGGUGAAUACGUUCCCGGGCCUUGUACACACCGCCCGUCACACCAUGAGAGCCGGUAACACCCGAAGUCAGUAGUCUAACCGCAAGGGGGACGCUGCCGAAGGUGGGGCUGGUGAUUGGGGUGAAGUCGUAACAAGGUAAC
rnacentral:rRNA from 1 species